GACGAACGCUGGCGGCGUGCUUAACACAUGCAAGUCGAACGGAAAGGCCCUGCUUUUGUGGGGUGCUCGAGUGGCGAACGGGUGAGUAACACGUGAGUAACCUGCCCUUGACUUUGGGAUAACUUCAGGAAACUGGGGCUAAUACCGGAUAGGAGCUCCUGCUGCAUGGUGGGGGUGGGAAAGUUUCGGCGGUUGGGGAUGGACUCGCGGCUUAUCAGCUUGUUGGUGGGGUAGUGGCUUACCAAGGCUUUGACGGGUAGCCGGCCUGAGAGGGUGACCGGCCACAUUGGGACUGAGAUACGGCCCAGACUCCUACGGGAGGCAGCAGUGGGGAAUAUUGCACAAUGGGCGGAAGCCUGAUGCAGCAACGCCGCGUGCGGGAUGACGGCCUUCGGGUUGUAGACCGCUUUCGCCUGUGACGAAGCGUGAGUGACGGUAAUGGGUAAAGAAGCACCGGCUAACUACGUG
rnacentral:rRNA from 1 species